rnacentral:rRNA from 1 species
CAGUCGCCGCGGGAAAACGUAGGUGGCAAGCGUUGUCCGGAAUUAUUGGGCGUAAAGGGCUCGCAGGCGGUUUCUUAAGUCUGAUGUGAAAGCCCCCGGCUCAACCGGGGAGGGUCAUUGGAAACUGGGAAACUUGAGUGCAGAAGAGGAGAGUGGAAUUCCACGUGUAGCGGUGAAAUGCGUAGAGAUGUGAGGAACACCAGUGGCGAAGGCGACUCUCUGGUCUGUAACUGACGCUGAGGAGCGAAAGCGAGGGGAGCGAACAGGAUUAGAUACCCGUGUAGUCCCUGUCUCUUAUCUC